rnacentral:lncRNA from 1 species
AAGUCUGAAGAGAGGGAUGAAGUGACCACUGCGGAGUUUUACAUAAAAAAACAACUGACGUUUGUUAAAUAUAUGCAGGAAACUCCGCCGCUGGUCGUCUCUCCUCACCAAGGUUGAUAUCACUACCAUCAUCAGGGACCUGAAGGUGGGGCUGAAAAGCCUCAAGAGGUCUGUGGUGGUGCACCAAAUGGCAGUGAAGAGGGAUAAAUACUGCAAGCUGCCAAAGAGGGAGUGCAUCACCACAUUCCUCUCUGGGGCUAGGAGGAAGAUUCCAGAGCUGCUCGACAUGCUGGAGGAGGAGCAUACAAGUCACACAAGGUUUUGCUUUUAUUGCUACCAGUGUGGCUACUGGAUCUGCCUCUUCGGCCACAGGCCUGGUAUGUACUCCAACAUGACAGAUGAGGAGUUUGCGCAGGCCAAGGCCAGUGGUGGGCCCGACGGCUACCUGAUCCACAUAAGGAUUAAGAAUUCCAUCCCUUCUCUACCUCAGUGUGUCAUAAUAGAUCAAGGAGCACAGACCAACCAGUCAUUUGGAGAGGCCCAGCUGGUCCUCACUCCAGAAGAGUUUUCGUGGCUGGAUAGGUGGGCUGCCAUCAAGAAGAGGGUGAAGCCUAGUGAGAGGAAUGGCUUUGUAUUGUUCACGAAAGGCCAGGGUCCUUCCAAGAACCUCAAUGUUUAUUUGAGGAUGGCUUGGAAGGACCUGAGAUUGAAGGGGAAAUUCCAAAACAUUGUGUGUAUGAGAAAUUGGAGGUAUACUGUGGAAUGUUGUUACUGUUAUUCAUUUAUCUGCAAUUUUUCAAAUGUUUUUCAGGCUUAAGAAGUCAACCAAUUUGGAUGACAGGAAAAAUGUAGCCGACUUCAUGUGUCGUGAUGUCCGGACGGCUGACUUGUUCUACGCCAGGUGUCCGAACGUUGUGGCGGCGAAGAACAUCAGGGACAUCAUUGGAGCCAGCCUGCAAAGCAAGGAGGCCAUAGUCAGCGAGGAGGAGGAGGGAGGAGGGAGGAGGAGGAGGAAGAGGAGGAGGGGAAAAA